ACGUAGGGGGCGAGCGUUGUCCGGAAUUACUGGGCGUAAAGCGCACGCAGGCGGGGUGUUAAACGGGCUGUGAAAAGGACGGGCUCAACCUGUGUCUUGCGGUCGAUACUGGCAGCCUCGAGUACGAUAGAGGGAAGUGGAAUUCCCGGUGUAGCGGUGAAAUGCGUAGAUAUCUGGAGGAACUCCAGUGGCGAAGGCGGCUUCCUGGCUCGUGACUGACGCUCAUGUGCGAAAGCUGGGGGAGCGAACGG
rnacentral:rRNA from 1 species